UACGUAGGGCGCAAGCGUUAUCCGGAAUUAUUGGGCGUAAAGAGCUCGUAGGCGGUUGUCGCGUCUGCCGUGAAAGUCCGGGGCUCAACUCCGGAUCUGCGGUGGGUACGGGGCAGACUAGAGUGAUGUAGGGGAGACUGGAAUUCCUGGUGUAGCGGUGAAAUGCGCAGAUAUCAGGAGGAACACCGAUGGCGAAGGCAGGUCUCCUGGGCAUUAACUGACGCUGAGGAGCGAAAGCAUGGGGAGCGAACAGG
rnacentral:rRNA from 1 species